rnacentral:rRNA from 1 species
UGGGGAAUAUUGGACAAUGGGGGGAACCCUGAUCCAGCCAUGCCGCGUGUGUGAAGAAGGCCUUAUGGUUGUAAAGCACUUUAAGCGAGGAGGAGGGUACUGGUAUUAAUACUACCAGGUACUGGACGUUACUCGCAGAAUAAGCACCGGCUAACUCUGUGCCAGCAGCCGCGGUAAUACAGAGGGUGCGAGCGUUAAUCGGAUUUACUGGGCGUAAAGCGUGCGUAGGCGGCUAAUUGAGUCGGAUGUGAAAUCCCCGAGCUUAACUUGGGAAUUGCAUUCGAUACUGGUUAGCUAGAGUGUGGGAGAGGAUGGUAGAAUUCCAGGUGUAGCGGUGAAAUGCGUAGAGAUCUGAGGAAUACCGAUGGCGAAGGCAGCCAUCUGGCCUAACACUGACGCUGAGGUACGAAAGCAUGGGGAGCAAACAGG